UCACUAAGCAAGCUCCUCCCCGUCAACAUGACUGCUUCACCGGGGGAGGGGCAUUUUCGUCAUUUCUUGUUUGUCUAGGCUGUGUCAAUUUCUAGCAACGCCACGUUGAUUGCAGAUGUAUAUAGCCAGAUUUUGUGGAUGUUUCUCUUAGCGUCCAUGGCUAUACAUAUCGCUAAAUUGCUGGUUUAGCUGAUUAUCAUCUUCGUUAUCAUUACCUUCUUUUGCGUUUCGCCGUGAUGCUGAAAUAAAAUUCAAUCGGCAUAAGAGAUAUAACAAAAUUUCUCCAAUUAAAAAAGAGGCAUUAUUAUUGCAACGGUGCACCAGAGAACUCGAUUCAAGGAAGCGUGUUGCACAAGUUAAUGCAUUGAAUACUUCAACGACAUCAAUAUUUUUUGCAUCUAAUUCAACAUCUCAACAAAACAAACCUCUCAUAAUAAGGGAUGUUUGUGUUACGACAACACAAGUUAAUAUAUCAUCGGGCACUUCUACUAAAGGGAAAAGUUUGCUUCAGCCUUUUUGCAUCUUCGAGACAGGCAGGUAUAAUCAUAUUUUCUCUAUUAACAUACUAUUGCCAUCAUGCAUUUACUCAUGUAAUUCAUAAUUGGUCUUAUAUUAGGUUCUAGAUCACAUACAUCUAAUGACCAAUGUAGACUUGCUUGGGGAAAUAUAACAAACAAAGGUUUGUAUUUGUGUCGACAUACAACAAUAUUUAUUGCUAUUUCUUUAACUCUAAAUUGAUUUUUAACUUUUUCUGCACUAUCCAGGACAUAAGAUUAAUAGAGGUCGUCACAUUAAUGUCAAUAUGUUACAAACCGAAUAUAUAGUUCUGAAAGUUGUGCUAAAUUGUAAAUUUGUGGUGCAAAAAGAUUCUAAUACGAACCACCUACAUUUUGUUGUGUAAUGGUUCAAUUAAGCUCACAACACAUAAAAUGCCUACUGAACUACGACAUUUAUUCUUAGAUACUUCUGAAGAGUCUCAACAUUUUAGAACAUAUGUUAGAAAAUACAAUAAUAUGUUAGCUUUGGCUAAAAUAUAUCAUGGUAUUUAUACCUUUAGAGUUCAAGAAAAAAUAUACCACUUUAUUGACGAUUUAUACCCAACAACUGGAAAAGGAAAAAAACUUGCAACUAUAUUUUUAUGACAAUGAAAAUGAAAUGACAAAUAGAAUUGGUUGUUCGACUGGAAUUUCAGAAAUAAUAGUCAGAAAAUUGAUGAGUAUUUUAAAAAUUAAUCUGUAUUCUUUUUUCCUUAAAUCUCUAUCUGAUGUUCCAGAACUGUCACACUUUUACACUGCAUUGAAAUGUGAUUGGUUUAGAUCAACGUGUAUAUAAACUUCCUACUUCAUCUGAAAUUUCAGCAAUAUGGGUUGAUGGAGAUGUGUAUUCUAUCUCCGCACAUCAUAUUCGAAUUUAUACUCACAAUAAUCAAAGACAAUUAGUUAAUUGUUAUUACGGAUGUUAUGAACCCUUGCAGUACCCAUUAUUAUUUCCAUAUGGUCAAAAUGGCUAGCAUUGUGGUAUGAAAAAAUACAACCACAUAAUAGUAUCACACAUUGUGCUCCCUGUGAACAUGAACACUUACCAAGUGUUAAAAAUAUGUGUUCAAUAGAUAACUUUCUUGAUAUGGAAGCUCAAAUACUCAAACAACAAAAGAAAAAAAAGGAAUACUAUCUCUUAUCGUGAAUAUUAUUGCUACAAAAUUCAAAUGAAAAAUAAUGAAAAUGAUGAACUCUUACAUACUGGAAGAGCAUUCCAACAAUAUAUUGACAUGUUCUGAAAACUUGAAUCACAAAGACUGGACUUCUUUUUCUUCAAUCCAGAAGUAUUUCGAAUGGAAGUUUUGCAAGGUCUUCUUGAUGUCUUAAGACAUGGUGAAAGAGAUGCUAUAAAAAUUGGAAAAUAGAUAUUCCUUCCAGUUACAUUUACGGGAGGACCAAGAGGACCCAAGAGACAUACGUUGGCGUUAUCUUGAUGCUAUUGCUUUAGUCCAACGUCUAAGAAAACCUGAUUUAUUUUUAACAAUGAUAUGUAAUCCAACAUGGCCAGAAAUAAAGGAACAUUUGUUACCUACUGACAAAGCACAAAACAGACCUGAUUUAAUUAGUAGAGUAUUUAGAGCAAACGUUGAGGAAAUACAAGCUAACAUACUAAAGAGAAACGUAUUUGGAAAGGUUGUUGCUUUCAUUUACAGUAUAGAAUUUCAGAAACGCAGUCUCCCACGUGUAUAUUUUCUUAUAAUUCUUGCUAAUGAAUACAAAUUGUUGACACCUGAGUCCUGUGACAAAUUUAUUCGUGUUGAAUUACCUGAUUCUAAUAGAGAGGUUUACUUACAUUCAGUUGUUGUCCGUCAUUGUGGCCACUUAAAUCCUACAAAUCCAUGUAUGAAAAGUGGAUAUUGUAAAUUUCACUGUCCUAGAGAUUUUGCUGAACGAACUUCAAAAGGAAAAAACUCAUAUCCAACUUAUAAGAGGCAACAAUCGGGACAUACUACAAAGGUUAGAGAACAAUUUCUCGAUAAUUCUUGGGUAGUACCAUACAAUCCAUUUUUACUUCAUAAAUUUUUAAUUGUCAUAUGAAUGUAGAAAUAUGCUCUAACAUCAAAGUAAUGAAGUAUCUUUACAAAUAUAUUUGCAAAGGACACAAUAAAAUUGCUUUUUAUAUGCACGAGUAUGAUAAACAAAUAGAAAUUGAUGAAAUAAAAGUGUAUCAAUCUGCUCGGUGGGUAUCUCCGCCCGAAGCUACAUGGCGCUUAUUUGAUUUUUCUAUUAGUGAGAUGACACCAAGUGUUUACCAUCUUCAAUUGCAUCUUGAAGACCAACAAUAUGUUUCUUUUAAAAGUGCUCAAAGUAUAAAUUCAAUUAUAAGAAAUCCAAUGAUUAGAAAAACAAUGCUAACCGAAUUUUUUGUAAUGAACCAAACAAAUAAAGAUGCUAAAGAACUUAAACUACUAUACAAAGAAUUCCCUGAAUAUUUUGUAUGGUCAAACACAUAUAAAAUGUGGACACGUCGAAAACAAUGUUCAGUUAUCGAACGUAUUGUGACGUCAUCUAAUAGAAGGAGAAAGAUAUUAUCUCAGAUUGUUAUAAUGAAUGUACGAGUGCCAGAGUCAUAUAGAGAUCUUCGUAAAGUCAACAUAUUGUUCUACUUUUAGAGAAUCAACAGAAAAAAAGGAAUUACUACAUUCUGAUAACAGUUUGAUUGACUGUAUGACUGAAGCUGUGAGUUACCAAUUACCAUAUAGUUUGAGAUGAUUAUUCACUAUGUUAUUAGUGUAUUAUAAUCCUACUAAUUCUAAAGAAUUAUGGGAACAAUUUGAUGACUCUAUGUCAGAAGAUUUUAAAAACUUGGGAAAUAUUGAACUUAAAGAUAUUUGCCGUCGAGUUUUGGACCAUAUUAAAGAUGAAUUACACUCGAUGGGACAUGAUAUUAAUGAGUACAAGCUUGUUCUAGAAAAUAUUAAAGCCUCUGCGAUUACCAAAGAAGCAAAAGAUGUUCAGUUUGAGAGAAAUAUAAAAGUUUGCGAAGAGGAUUUAUUAUUAGAAAAUAAAUUUAAUAUUGAACAAAGAAGAGCUUAUACCGUAAUAAUUGAUAGAGUUUUUCAAAUAGAGCAGCAGCUUUCUUUAUUCAUGGAACCGGAGGAACUGGUAAUAGUUUCUUAAAUCAAAGUCUAUUAGCAACGAUAAGAUCAAAAGCAUUUGUUGCAUUAGCAACUGCAAGUUCUGGUGUCUCAACCUCUAUUCUUCUUAAAGAACGAACAACUCAUUCACGCUUUAAAAUACCUAUUGAUGUUGAUGAAAAUAUUAGUUGCAAUAUCAACAAACAAAGUUCACUUGCUUCUUUGAUUCGAGAUGCAAAAUUAUUUGUAUGGGAUGAAGCAUUAAUGCCUAAAGGAAAAAUUAUUAAAGCUUUUGAUUUACUUUUGAAAGAUCUCAUGGAUAUGAGGAUGCCCUUUGGUGGAAAAGUUGUUUUAGGUGGUGAUUUUAGACAAACUCUUCCUGUUGUGAGAAAUGGAAAAAAAGAAGACUUCAUUUCACAAACCUUAUUAUACUCACAAAUUUGGAACCAACUAGAAAAAUUGCACCUAUCAGAGAAUAUGCAUGCAAGAACAGAUCCAGCUUUUUCUGAGUACCUAAUAAGGAUUGGAAAUGGAAAGAAAAACAUAACUCCAGCGACAAAGUUGAAAUUCCCAAAUCUUUGCUCAUUUCUUUUACUACCGAAGAACAAUCUCUUGAUGAAUUAUUCAAGGUAACAUAUUCUAACAUAAAUUCGUUAUUUCAUAACUCUUAUGCUUUAGAUUCCCGUAUUAUUUUAACAAAAAAAAAUGAUUAUGUUCAUGAAAUAAAUGUUAUGCUUAUAUCAAAAUUUUCAAAUACUGCAAAAAUAUUUGUUGAGAUUGAUGAAACUAUUGAACCAAAUGAUCAAAGUCAAUUUGAAGAUUAUCUACAUACUAUAAAGCCCGCUAAUUUUCCACCUUACAAAUUAACUUUAAAAGAAAAUUGCCCAGUGAUGUUACUACGAAACUUAAAUCCUUCUGAAGGUUUAUGUAAUGGUACACAAUUAAUGUGCUGUAAUUUUAAAACACAUGUUACAAGUGCUAAUAUUGCUAGCGGUGAUUUUCAAAUAAACAUGUAUUUAUUCCUCGCAUACCACUAUCAGCUUCAGCAGAUGAGAACUUUUCGGUUCCUUUCAAGAGAACACAGUUUCCAAUACGAUUAUGUUUUGCUAUGACUAUAAAUAAAGCUCAAGAUCAAACUUUAGACUAUAUUGGAAUUUAUUUGUGUGAGCCUGUUUUUUCCCAUGAUUAGCUUUAUGUGUUGUCUAGAGCUAAAAGUUCAAAAGGUGUAAAGUUGUUGAUUAGGUCAUUGACAUCAGAUAACAAAGAUGAUCACUCAACAUACAACGUUGUUUAUGAUGAAAUUAUCAAAAAAGCAUUCAGUUAACUAACAACAUAAGAAUUUUUAUUUUUAAUAUACUUGUCGUGAAAUAUAUUAACUAAUGUCUUCAAGUAUGUACUGCUUAUGUUGCUUCCACUUGUUGAUCCCUUCCUAUUUCAUUAGCAAGCUUUCGCAAAAGAAAUUGUUUCCCCUGAAGUUUUAGGUACGCUGCUUAUACAAUUAUCAAGUGAGAUUUUAAUUUAAAUAAUAUUGUCUUUAAAUGCUUUGAAUGUUCCAUGGAAGAUUAGACUUUUUUUUAAUUCUUCCUGUAUUCAAUUCAUGAACAGAUAAGUUCAGUAAAUGCGAGAAAUCAAAAUAUAAGUUGAAAAUGCUCUAAGAGGCACCUUCGAUUACAAAUUGAUUGAGGUGUUGCUGUCACGGUUCAAAUUUUGGUAAUACAGAUGCAACAACAAAGGAUUGCAGUUACGCCUUAUUUAUGUGAUAGUUUCUCAUACUAUUUUUAUCAACUGGCUUGUUUCCCCUACCACAUGAUAGAGACUACUUGGAAGCAGUUGGCCAUUGUCCUACUGGCUUGUCAAUUAGGAGCUAUUUUGAUUCUCUCAAAUAAAACAAAGUAGUACAUGUUCAAUCUUUAUCAUAUCCGCUAAAACGUGUAACGUCUGCCCUCAUUUCAGAAUAAGAAGAAGAAAGAGUAGACUGCACAUUUGGUUUAUCCACUUAACCCAUUUUUCGUUAUAAUAAACUUCUUUCUCGCUAUGUCAAUUGUAACAUACCAUCAAUUACAAGAUCAACAAACUUUGAUGAAAUGGCUUCCUCUUGAAGUUAACCCCAAUGUCAUUAAUUAGCUAAGGAAUUGCUUUAGCUUUGAUAUGUUCUUCGAGACUGAUGUAAGGAGAUUUGGGGAUGGAGGAAUUUUCAUUGGUAACUUGAGAAGUCCUAUUGAUGAAGUAAUACCCAGAUUGGAGAAGAAAUUAUCAGAGGUUGCUGGAAGGGAGGUCAUCCAGUGAUUUAUGGAGGAAAAGACGAAUAAUAUUGUAAAGAAGGUAUGCUGUAGAUGUUUAAAAAGAUACUACUUUUGAUUGUUUCGUUAUGCAGUGUUAACGCUUGAGGCUUUUGCGAAUGGGCUACAUUACGGUUAGUUGACCCCUUUUUAUUAGUAAGGUAUAGGUUGGUUGGGGAAAACUUGCUUUCCCUAUUUGAAAAAAGGAGAUCUGUGUUAUCAACUAGAAUUUGCAACUAUUGCACCAUACAUAACUCCAGAUUUCACUUUUGUAAUUUUUACAUGUAUGGAUUGUGGAGAAAGCAUGAAAUUUAGGAAGGAGGAUAGUGAUGUAGAUCAGUAUCUCAACCUAUUGGAUCCAGAAAAGUUUAAUGAACCUUCAAAUUAAUUCCAUUCAUUACAGUAUAUAUUCUAUGACAGUUCCCAUGAAAUUCAUUUAUUUAUGUGGGACAAAAAACUAACUUAUGUCAUUUCAGAUGGUUUUAGUAAUAUUCCAUUUGGUUGCCUGAAUGAAAAAUACUGUUCACUAGAGGCCCGGGAAAUAAAGAGAAGAUGUGUACGAACGAGAUGUCCAGCAACAAGAAGGAAAAGGAUUGAAUAGAGGAACUCCUGAACAUUUGGAAUUAUGAAAUCAAUUAUUUUGUUGCUUUGUUUUUCUUAUUCUUACAGCAUGAUAUGGACUUUUCGAAGCACAUAGAGAGGACUUACAUCCCUUUAUCAAUUAUUUUGUUGCUUUUUUUUCU